AGUGAACGCUGGCGGUAGGCCUAACACAUGCAAGUCGAACGGCAGCACAGUAAGAGCUUGCUCUUACGGGUGGCGAGUGGCGGACGGGUGAGGAAUACAUCGGAAUCUACUUUUUCGUGGGGGAUAACGUAGGGAAACUUACGCUAAUACCGCAUACGACCUACGGGUGAAAGCAGGGGAUCUUCGGACCUUGCGCGAUUGAAUGAGCCGAUGUCGGAUUAGCUAGUUGGCGGGGUAAAGGCCCACCAAGGCGACGAUCCGUAGCUGGUCUGAGAGGAUGAUCAGCCACACUGGAACUGAGACACGGUCCAUACUCCUACGGGAGGCAGCAGUGGGGAAUAUUGGACAAAGGGCGCAAGCCUGAUCCAGCCAUACCGCGUGGGUGAAGAAGGCCUUCGGGUUGUAAAGCCCUUUUGUUGGGAAAGAAAAGCAGCAGGUUAAUACCCCGCUGUUCUGACGGUACCCAAAGAAUAAGCACCGGCUAACUUCGUG
rnacentral:rRNA from 1 species